AAAAGAAACGGAGAAUGUCAAGAAAGCAAAAAAUGCAACACACAAUCACCAUGGCUAGACGAGCAGCGAGCAAGGCUAGAGAGCCGAUGUGGGUCAGAUGGGAUAUGGCAUUUAUGCAAGAGAGAUCUGGGCUGUUGGAGGAAGAGAACAAGAAGCUUCGUGAUGGGCUCAUUGAUAAAGCAUGGAGAUCUCGAAGAAGCCAAGGCUGUGCUAGAUGACUGGAUUUCAGAGUGCCGAACAUUCUCCUGAUCGGCUACUGUCAGAAAGGUCUCCCUGAUUAAUCCGGGGCUCUGCUUUGGGAUAUUAGCAAAAGGGCAUAUAUACCGACUUCCCUUCUCAAAGGCCAUUGAUUUUACACGACUUCAGAGUGCCUAACAUACCCCUUAUCAGCUACUAUGAGAAGGGUCACCCUGAUAAAUACGAGGCUCUGCUUCGGGAUAUUAAUAAAAGGGGAUAAAUAUCGACCUCCCUUCACAA